rnacentral:rRNA from 1 species
AGUGAACGCUGGCGGUAGGCCUAACACAUGCAAGUCGAACGGCAGCACAGUAAGAGCUUGCUCUUACGGGUGGCGAGUGGCGGACGGGUGAGGAAUACAUCGGAAUCUACUUUUUCGUGGGGGAUAACGUAGGGAAACUUACGCUAAUACCGCAUACGACCUACGGGUGAAAGCAGGGGAUCUUCGGACCUUGCGCGAUUGACUGAGCCGAUGCCGGAUUAGCUAGUUGGCGGGGUAAGGGCCCACCACGGCGACGAGCCGUAGCUGGUCUGAGAGGAUGAUCGGCGACACUGGAACUGAGACACGGUCCAGAGUCCUACGAGAGGCAGCAGUGGGGAAUAUUAGACAAUGGGCGCAAGCCUGAUCCAGCCAUACCGCGUGUGUGAAGAAGACGUUCGGGUUGUAAAGCCGGUUUGUUGGGAGAGAAAAGCAGCAGGUUAAUACCCCGCUGUUCUGACGGUACCCAAAGAAUAAGCACCGGCUAACUUCGUG